CAGAUACACUGUGAAAAUGGGUUUGAGUUGCAGUUGAGCUGAAGUGUGGUGGGAUGAAAAGGGCAAAGAACCCCGAACUAAGUUUUUAUAAGAGGCUGAAAGGAAAAACUGAGCGGAUACAGCCUUUGAGACAUCUGCAAGAAAAAUGGAAAAAAUGCUCCUACGACUCUCAAAGUAAAACCCGCGCUGACCCAGAGCUGUGGAAACCAAUCACCCACAGCUAUGAUGCUAAUGGUCUUCAUGGGGCGAUGGUACUGUGCACAAUGCAGUCAUAAGGGAUUAGAGCAGCUCUCUGCACAUGGACCUAUCACUCAUGGGUGAGGACAGCUGAGAGAAAAAGGGAGUUUCAACAGAAAAUGAUUUAACAACUUUGCAUCUGCCUUGAAUUCCAUUUCUCUGUGUGAUUGUGGAUUUCCUGCACUGUGACUGUUAAGUAAAAAAAAUACCCCCCCC